rnacentral:lncRNA from 1 species
GCGAAGUGUGAGGACAACUUGGCCCUGGCUGGGCAUCACGUAGCAGGGUACGAAACCUCGCCUGCCCCUUCCCGCCUGGACAUCACCUCCCAGUUUCCUCACCUACAAAUGGGAUUGGCAUCAAGACUGACUUCAUAGAGGAUGAAGGAGACCUAAGGAUCUUAAAUCACAUGACAGCUUUGGUCCAACUCGUCCACCUACAGCCAGGAGGACAGAGAAGCAGAGUGGAGGAGAGAGCACGCUUCGUCCCACAGAGCCAAGACCUGUGCUGAGGUCCCGACCCAGAGCCCUGCUCCCACAGCAGCUCCCAAGGCCCAUUGCAGGCAGGGAGCAGGGAAGACGUAAUUCCUCAGUAGAAACGUGUCUGUUCCAGUAUCUUCUGGUCUAGCUCUAAUGCCCCUGCAUCUCUUUCUUUCUGGACUAUGUCCAGUCCUGCAGCAUCUGGAGCCAGAGCGCCCAG